CUGGGAGCGGGGGCUGCGGCCGGAGCGGGGAUGAGGGCACGGGUCCGGUGGGACCGGGGGAUAACACACCGACGGGCUGCUGACAGAGCCAAAGGAGACGAAGGAAUAUAUUGCCCAUGGCUAUGGAAUCAUAGAAUCAUCGAGAUUGGAAGAGACCUUUGGGAUCAUCCAGUCCAACCUUCAGCCCAGCACUACCUCUGUAACCCCUAAAUUAUUGUUCCAUUUCCAAAUGAUGUAUGUUUCCCAGUGGAGCCGUGUAACUAUUGAAGGUCUGGGCCUUAGGGUAGAGGACUUGGGUAACUUGAAUGUUACUAAAUCUAACAACAGGAACAUGCUAAUCCGCAAUUCUGCCCUGUAGCUCUCUAGGAGGCAUCCUGAAAAAGUGGAAUAAGUUUAGGGGAGAUCAAAUGACUAAAGAUAAAAUGAAAAGAUAUUGUAAUCAUUGGUGGCCACUUGAUAAAUUGGAGGAUGGGGAAAACAUGUCAUUGCAUUUUAAUAUUAUCUUACAGUUGAUGACUUGGUAAAUGGGAUAAUCAGGUUUUAUGUGCAAAUGUUAGUUUCUUCCAUUCCACCCCUACAUUGGGGCAGAGAUGGAUAAAGAAGAUACAGAUCAAAAUACAGAGUAUGUGGGAAGUGAGGAUUUUAGUCCUGAGAUAUACCCAGCCAGUGAUACAGGCACCUUUAGGACAAACAGUGAGGGCAGAGAGUCAACACUUAAUUUCUUAGAUGUAAAAAGUCCAUCCAAAAUAACCAAGAAAUGACAAAAAUACAGUGUUCCAAUGUUUAUAACUGGGGGUUUAUUCCUGCAGAAGAGACUUGAGAGAGGAGACAAAAAGUAACAAAAUGGAAGCCUUUGAUUUGACUUCAAAACAUGUUACUUCUGAAUAAACUUAAAAGGUCGUAAACAUUUAAAAGUUCUAAUGGGGGUGGCUUAAGAGGAAUCUUUCCAAUGGUGAACUCCUUUGCUUCAAACUGUUGCCACUCUUCAGCUGAUAAUUCACUCUU